rnacentral:rRNA from 1 species
CUUAACACAUGCAAGUCGAGGGGCAGCAUGGUCUUAGCUUGCUAAGGCCGAUGGCGACCGGCGCACGGGUGAGUAACACGUAUCCAACCUGCCGUCUACUCUUGGACAGCCUUCUGAAAGGAAGAUUAAUACAAGAUGGCAUCAUGAGUCCGCAUGUUCACAUGAUUAAAGGUAUUCCGGUAGACGAUGGGGAUGCGUUCCAUUAGAUAGUAGGCGGGGUAACGGCCCACCUAGUCUUCGAUGGAUAGGGGUUCUGAGAGGAAGGUCCCCCACAUUGGAACUGAGACACGGUCCAAACUCCUACGGGAGGCAGCAGUGAGGAAUAUUGGUCAAUGGGCGAGAGCCUGAACCAGCCAAGUAGCGUGAAGGAUGACUGCCCUAUGGGUUGUAAACUUCUUUUAUAAAGGAAUAAAGUCGGGUAUGUAUACCCGUUUGCAUGUACUUUAUGAAUAAGGAUCGGCUAACUCCGUGCCAGCAGCCGCGGUAAUACGGAGGAUCCGAGCGUUAUCCGGAUUUAUUGGGUUUAAAGGGAGCGUAGAUGGAUGUUUAAGUCAGUUGUGAAAGUUUGCGGCUCAACCGUAAAAUUGCAGUUGAUACUGGAUAUCUUGAGUGCAGUUGAGGCAGGCGGAAUUCGUGGUGUAGCGGUGAAA